UACAGAGGUCUCGAGCGUUAGGCGGAAUCACUGGGCUUAAAGCGUGUGUAGGUGGAUCGGUAAGUACCUUGUGAAAUCCCAUGGCUCAACCAUGGGACUGCUUGGUAUACUGGAUGUCUUGAGCCACUUAGGGGCUACCGGAACAAAUGGUGGAGCGGUGAAAUGCGUAGAUAUCAUUUGGAACGCCAAUGGUGAAAACAGGUAGCUGGGAGUGUGCUGACACUGAGACACGAAAGCGUGGGGAGCAAACAGG
rnacentral:rRNA from 1 species